AUUGAACGCUGGCGGCAUGCCUAACACAUGCAAGUCGAACGGCAGCACAGUGUGUAGCAAUACACAUGGGUGGCGAGUGGCGGACGGGUGAGUAAUGCUUAGGAAUCUACCCAGUAGCGGGGGACAACCCGGAGAAAUCCGGGCUAAUACCGCAUACGCCCUACGGGGGAAAGCGGGGGACCUUCGGGCCUCGCACUAUUGGAUGAGCCUAAGUCUGAUUAGCUUGUUGGUAGGGUAACGGCCUACCAAGGCGACGAUCGGUAGCUGGUCUGAGAGGACGACCAGCCACACUGGGACUGAGAUACGGCCCAGACUCCUACGGGAGGCAGCAGUGGGGAAUAUUGGACAAUGGGGGAAACCCUGAUCCAGCAAUGCCGCGUGUGUGAAGAAGGCCUGCGGGUUGUAAAGCACUUUCAGUAGGGAAGAAAACCUGAGGAUUAAUACCCCUCUGGUGUGACGUUACCUAUAGAAGAAGCACCGGCUAACUCCGUGCCAGCAGCCGCGGUAAUACGGAGGGUGCAAGCGUUAGUCGGAAUUACUGGGCGUAAAGCGCACGUAGGCGGUUUGGCAAGUCGGUUGUGAAAUCCCCGGGCUUAACCCGGGAAUGGCAUUCGAUACUGCCUGACUGGAGCAUG
rnacentral:rRNA from 1 species